rnacentral:rRNA from 1 species
AUUCCUACGGGAGGCAGCAGUGCGGAAUAUUGGUCAAUGGGCGCAAGCCUGAUCCAGCAAUGCCGCGUGUGUGAAGAAGGCCUGCGGGUUGUAAAGCACUUUCAGUAGAGAAGAAAAGCCUAGGGUUAAUAACCCUGAGUCUUGACGUUACCUACAGAAGAAGCACCGGCUAACUUCGUGCCAGCAGCCGCGGUAAU